GCGAACGCUGGCGGCAGGCUUAACACAUGCAAGUCGAGCGGGCAUCCUUGUGGUGUCAGCGGCAGACGGGUGAGUAACGCGUGGGAACGUGCCCUUCGGUUCGGAAUAACUCAGGGAAACUUGAGCUAAUACCGGAUACGUGCGAGAGCAGAAAGGUUUAUCUGCCGAAGGAUCGGCCCGCGUCUGAUUAGCUAGUUGGUGAGGUUAUGGCUCACCAAGGCGACGAUCAGUAGCUGGUCUGAGAGGAUGAUCAGCCACACUGGGACUGAGACACGGCCCAGACUCCUACGGGAGGCAGCAGUGGGGAAUAUUGGACAAUGGGGCAACCCUGAUCCAGCCAUGCCGCGUGAGUGAUGACGGCCUUAGGGUUGUAAAGCUCUUUUCUCCGGGACGAUAAUGACGGUACCGGAGGAAUAAGCCCCGGCUAACUUCGUG
rnacentral:rRNA from 1 species